GAAGAAGAUGCCUCCGCUUGAGCCUGUUUCUGGAUACUCUUUCCUCCAUGGACGCCCAGUUUCUGACAACACAAAUACAGAGACAGUCACUGCCGCUGUUCUAUGCAGACCGAGCUAUGACUUGCGGGGACAUGUCAUCUACAAAAAAAGUGCAGGUCGGAGUUCCAAAUGGCUGGAUUUCCCAAAGAGCCACAUCCUGGGAGUAUCAAUGAGAACACCAUAGGACUGUUUAUUUGGUGCAUGCUAGGUUAGAGGGUCCCUGCCGCUGAGAGGAUGACGACAGGAAGAGGAUGCCAUAGUGUUUGAUCCAUAUUGAGUCUGGCAAUAACUGGCACGUGAAGAGUGCAGGGAGCACAGAUGUAAAGAGAACGGCAAAAGAAGAGCGGCAAAUAGCAGGCACAAGAAGGAGUCACCCACCCUCUUGCAGUUGGGACUGUAAUUGCCCUGUGACAAACCCCAGGCCUUCAGUGUUGGGAAUGUUCAAUUGGCUGCUUCUUAAAGAGUGAGGUGGGACCACACACUUGGAGAAGAUUGAAUAUUUGUGGCGUCUUUAUGUCUCAUAGGGUGAGUUAAUUGUCCUGGCUUUCCAGUCAUAUCUUUUGAGAGUUUUGAAGCAAAAUAGACCCCUUGUAUUAUGCCUGAAAAAAUCCAUAUUCUUCAGCUUAAUGUCUUUUCUGUGGAAACACAUUUUCUUCCCAAGCGUUCUGUGUGAGUGAGCAGAGACAACCAGAUGUGCAUGUUUUACAGUAACAUUAUU